AGUGAACGCUGGCGGUAGGCCUAACACAUGCAAGUCGAACGGCAGCACAGUAAGAGCUUGCUCUUACGGGUGGCGAGUGGCGGACGGGUGAGGAAUACAUCGGAAUCUACUUUUUCGUGGGGGAUAACGUAGGGAAACUUACGCUAAUACCGCAUACGACCUACGGGUGAAAGCAGGGGAUAUUCGGACCUUGCGCGAUUGAAUGAGCCGAUGUCGGAUUAGCUAGUUGGCGGGGUAAAGGCCCACCAAGGCGACGAUCCGUAGCUGGUCUGAGAGGAUGAUCAGCCACACUGGAACUGAGACACGGUCCAGACUCCUACGGGAGGCAGCAGUGGGGAAUAUUGGACAAUGGGCGCAAGCCUGAUCCAGCCAUACCGCGUGGGUGAAGAAGGCCUUCGGGUUGUAAAGCCCUUUUUUUGGGAAAGAAAAGCAGCAGGUUAAUACCCCGCUGUUCUGACGGUACCCAAAGAAUAAGCACCGGCUAACUUCGUG
rnacentral:rRNA from 1 species